UCACAUAACGGCCUCGCAUUGCACUUUCGAACGCGUCUUUCGAGAGAAAGGCGAAGAGGCCAAAUAGACAAAGAUGAAGAGGAAUUGGAAGAUUACGAUAUUUACUGGGUUUCUAGCCUUGUUCGCGGGCUUGUUAAUUACUAAAGCGAACCCUGGGAUACGCCUUCGUUUUACUGACAAAGGUCUCCAAUUAGUUGACACAGUAGCGAUCCAACUUCUGAGUAAGAAAGUCAAGACAGCAACGAUCCCUGACAUAUCUGGAGAUGCUGAUACACCGCUCGGCCAUAUCUCUUACUCGCUGUCAAGCGUGCAUUUCAACUCUUUCUCAAUUCCUUCAUCGACUUUCAAGACGGAUCCAGGAGUUGGACUUACCCUCCAGAUCUCUGGCGCACAAGUGUCGGUGAGCGGGAACUGGCACUACCGCAAAGAUCACUGGCCGCAUGUUAGUGACAGUGGGAGUUUUGACUUGGAUGCAAGCGGGAUAGCUUUGUCUGUUAGUGCAAAACUUGGUGCAGAUAGUACUGGUCAUCCGAGCAUUGCUACAUCCAGCUGUUCUAGUUCAAUAGGAGACGUGAAUAUCCAUUUUCAUGGUGGUGCAAGUUGGCUUUACAACCUUUUUGACAAAUACGUAGCAGGAAAAAUUAAAGAUACUCUACAAGAUAAACUUUGCCAGGAGGUAUCGGAUGUUAUAAAUAACAACGCCGAAAAAGAGCUUUCAACGUUACCAGUGAUAAAGCGCCUCGAUAAAUACGCUCUUAUAAACUAUUCUCUGGUUUCAAGUCCAAUCUUUAAUGAGUCUUACCUGGAUGUCUUCAUCAAAGGAGAGUUCCAAUCUGUGACAGCCCCAAAAGAGGCUCCAUUUUCGCCUGUAAGCCUCCCUGCUGAUUCAGAAUCGGCGAAGAUGGCCUACGUUUGGUUAACUGACUACGUGGUUAACACGGCUGGGCUUGUUUAUCAAGAUGCUGGGUUUCUGAACGAAACUGUCACUCCGUCAAUGCUUCCUCCAAACUUUUCGUACCCUUUAAACACGUCGACAUUUAAGUUAAUCAUACCGAAGUUAUACCUGAUGUAUCCAAACUGUCUCAUGAAGCUGGUGGUACAUUCCACUCUGCGCCCUACCAUAUCUACAACCUCCGCAGGAAUAGCCUUGUCAAUGACUGGUGAGGUGGAAACCUACGCACAAUUAAAAAAUGGUUCAUUUGGGUACACUUUCACAAUGGGACUGAACAUAUCUGCAACCGUGAAGAUUGCAGUGAGACAAACAAAUAUUACUGGUCAUGUGGAUACAGUCAAAAAUUGGUGACGUUGGCUUUCCUUUGCCAGUAGUGGACGGAGUUCAGCUGGUAAAUGCUGAAAUAACGUCUGGAAAGGGCUUCAACUUGAUU
rnacentral:misc_RNA from 1 species